rnacentral:rRNA from 1 species
CAGCGCCGCGGUAAUACGUAGGUGGCAAGCGUUGUCCGGAAUUAUUGGGCGUAAAGGGCUCGCAGGCGGUUUCUUAAGUCUGAUGUGAAAGCCCCCGGCUCAACCGGGGAGGGUCAUUGGAAACUGGGAAACUUGAGUGCAGAAGAGGAGAGUGGAAUUCCACGUGUAGCGGUGAAAUGCGUAGAGAUGUGGAGGAACACCAGUGGGGAAGGCGACUCUCUGGUCUGUAACUGACGCUGAGGAGCGAAAGCGUGGGGAGCGAACAGGAUUAGAUACCCGUGUAGUCCCUGUCUCUUAUACC